UACAGAGGCCUCAAGCGUUGUUCGGAUUCAUUGGGCGUAAAGGGUGUGUAGGUGGCGCGCUAAGUCGGGUGUGAAAUUUCGGAGCUUAACUCCGAAACUGCAUUCGAUACUGGCGUGCUUGAGGACUGGAGAGGAGACUGGAAUUCAUGGUGUAGCAGUGAAAUGCGUAGAGAUCAUGAGGAAGACCAGUGGCGAAGGCGGGUCUCUGGACAGUUCCUGACACUGAGACACGAAGGCGGGGGGAGCAAACGGG
rnacentral:rRNA from 1 species